AUUGAACGCUGGCGGCAUGCCUUACACAUGCAAGUCGAACGGCAGCACGGGUGCUUGCACCUGGUGGCGAGUGGCGAACGGGUGAGUAAUACAUCGGAACGUACCUUAUCGUGGGGGAUAACGCAGCGAAAGUUGCGCUAAUACCGCAUACGCCCUGAGGGGGAAAGCGGGGGACCGUAAGGCCUCGCGCGAGUAGAGCGGCCGAUGUCUGAUUAGCUUGUUGGUGAGGUAAAAGCUCACCAAGGCGAUGAUCAGUAGCUGGUCUGAGAGGACGAUCGGCCACGCUGGGACUGAGACACGGCCCAGACUCCUACGGGAGGCAGCAGUGGGGAAUUUUGGACAAUGGGGGCAACCCUGAUCCAGCAAUGCCGCGUGAGUGAAGAAGGCCUUCGGGUUGUAAAGCUCUUUUGUCAGGGAAGAAACAGCAGCUCUAACACAGUCUGCGAAUGACGGUACCUGAAGAAUAAGCACCGGCUAACUACGUGCCAGCCGCCGCGGUAA
rnacentral:rRNA from 1 species